rnacentral:rRNA from 1 species
AAUCAACGCUGGCGGCGUGCCUCAGACAUGCAAGUCGAACGCGAAAGUUCCCUUCGGGGGAUGAGUAGAGUGGCGCACGGGUGAGUAACACGUAGGUAAUCUACCUUCGGAUGGGAAUAACAACCGGAAACGGUUGCUAAUACCGCAUAAUGCAGCGGCACCUAAUGGUGACAGUUGUUAAAGGCGGGGGAUCGAAAGACCUCGCGUCUGAAGAGGAGCCUGCGGCGGAUUAGC